GGAUGGGUGCUGCCUGCGACCCUCCCGGUCAGACAAACGCCUGCUUAGAGACCACGUCACUCCGAUGCGUUUCCAUUUGCUUGUAAUUUUCCUCUUCUCCCCAGGUUGUGCUGUUAUUCAGUCUCCGCAUAUGGUGGUCAUGCAAGGACAGCCAGUGACCCUGAGCUGUUCCCAGAACAAAACCAGUUAUGUUAACAUGUACUGGUACAAGCAAGAGUGGCGGAAGGAUGAGGCCCGGCUCCAGCUGGUGAUUUAUUCAUUCAAAGAUUCCAGAGGAGAUGUAGAGAAGCCAUUCGAAGGCCGUUUCGUGAGCAACGGGACGAAGAAUAACGCGUUAUCUGUGUCUGUGGCAAAGGCCCAGCCAGGAGAUAGCGGCACUUAUUUCUGUGCAAAGCAAGAUCACACAGCAAGGCAACGGCUGCACUUCGGAAAAGGAACCCGACUGACUGUGCUGGAGCAAGGACAAGUCCCCAGACCCCCAACGGUGACCCUCUUUGCCCCCUCCAAGAGGGAGGUUGAAGAAAAGCAGACGAUCACCCUUGUGUGUUUGGCCAACAAUUUCCUUCCAGACCAUGCCAACAUUACCUGGCACAGCUCUGAUGACACAGAGAUAACCAAUGGGGUAAAAACAGAGGAGUUCUCCAAAUAUGAUGAGAACACUAAGAGCUACUCCUUGACCAGCCGCUUGAGGGUCUCCAAGCAGGAGUGGCUGGACUCCCAGAACCAGUUCCUCUGCCGGGUCCAGUUCUUCCUGAAUGACACAGUUAAUUUCUACGAACGUCUCAUCCGUGGUGGAGGUUGUGAUGCAGCAAAAGUGUUGUAUCAAAGCACCAGCUAUCUCGGAAACUUCGUCUACAUUCUUCUCAUUUGCAAGAGCACCUUGUACGGGGCGUUCGUGAUGGGCUUGAUGCUGAGGAGAAAGAGAGUGCAAUAGAAGGCCGUUCCCUGGAAACCUCUCGCAAGAGUGGAGUGAAUUGCUUGGAAUUGCAGCGAAAGACGUGCAAAUGCUCUUGGCCAAAUAUCCAGCGCAGCUUUUUGGACUUUUUGUGAAGAUAAAAUAUUUGUUUUGCCUCUGUCUUGGAUUUUCUUAAAUGCUGUAUAUUAAUAAGAACACUGACCAUUUUCAUUUGGGUUCUGACCUGUCUUUAAAUUUUGACUGUGUUUACUCGAAAGUAAAUAUGCUUAAAACAACAGCCUUCAAGCCCCGCUGACUUCAAUGAGAGUGCUGUGAAGUUUGUGGCCUUGCAAUCACUGCAGUUUAAAGUGUUUCACUUUGACUGGAUCAGGGCCAGUGAUUUAAAAGAAACAGGCUAAAAAAAAGAUUAUAAUAUUUAAAAGAGUGUAAAAAGAAACAGGGGAAGCUGACUGACUAUUUAUUAAAAAGAAGACACAGAAGGCACCCAAAAGAAAACUGAGCGUCUUCAAUGCCGUCUUUUAAGUAAAAUCACAGACUGUGUUUAGCUUCCAGUUUUUCUUUUGUAAUAAACGACUGACACAAGAAUUUGGAUCUGUGUGUGUCUCAGAUAAUUUUGGAUAAAAUAUAUAAAUUGAACAAUGGGAAAAUAUGCAGUUGAAGGGUCUUAAAUUUACAUUAAUUUCUAGUCUGAAAGAUUUUUUAUAAAAUUUAUCAUUGGCAUGUGUCACCAGAUAAAUUAGCUAAAAUGUAUCAAAAUGUUUCAAAUAGAAGUUGGCAAUAUGAACAGCAUGAGAGGAUAUUUUAUCAUUUAUGGUGGACAUAUAACAAAGCCAAAAAAAAUUGGAUACAAAUACAUUCAUUUAUUCAGAAGAUUUUAAAGAUUAAUAUACAAAUGAAACCAGAGGAUUUUUUGUUGGUACUAAUGGACAAACAGAAAUUACUCAUGGAACUUAAUUUUUGCAUAUGACAACGGCAGCAAGACUGUCACGUGCCCCCAAAUGGAAAACUUCGACAGUGCCUACAAUAGAGGAACGGUUUGCAGAGAUGGCCAAACUUACUUCUUUGAUUUGGGAAAAGAUAUUAUCCAAAUUCAUGGCUACCUGGAAACCCCGUAUAGACUUUUUGUGCAAAACAGAAAAAAAUGAACUGAUGAUUUGUGCUUUUUGAAUAUUAAGAGGUAAAAAAGUAUAGGGAAAACCGAGGGUUUUUGUUUAUGGCAAUCUUAGAAUGAGUAUGUGGCAUGUAAUGUACAUGUUUCUGUCACAGGAAAAUCAGAGGUUAUUCCUAUUUCUUUAUAACAGCGUUUUUUCUUUAUUUUUAUUCUAUUUUUUCUUUUCUUUUAGUUUUUUUAUGCUUUUUAAAAACUUUAAUAAAAACAUGAGAGAAAAAAAUAAGAAUGUCUCUGAUAAUGUAAUGCCACAAACUAGCCUUGCUGGGGGGGGGAGGGGUGCUUCUUGUCUCAGCAAACGAUGUAUUUCCUUCGGAAUAAACAGAUAGCGCCUUUCUUA